rnacentral:lncRNA from 1 species
UAACCCGGUGAUGACCUAGCCAUGUGCAAGUAGGGAGUGCGCAUGAGCUGGGAAUGAUGAUGAUGGGAUGGUGUGCAUGAUGAUGAUGGGUAUAUGGUUGUAAAUGCAAAUAUGUGAGCAUUUGAUUUGUUGAAAUUUGGGAGUUUACAUGUGUUACAUGUUGCUAUUGUUAUUUUAGCAGGAUGGCUUCUUUUAAGGGAAAAAGGAGACUUUUUCCUUGAUGUUUUGAUCCUCGCUGCAGCGAGAAACUCUCGGGUUUGAGGGCCUUCACCAAACCUGGUUCUCGCUACAACGAGAAACUUUCUGUCCAUUUUGCUAACUUGUGGAUUUUUGCCAUAUUUCUCAUUUCUUUGGUACCAUAGUUGAGCAUGGAUCUUUGUAAAGUGAUUUACUCAUGUGGGGUUUACAUGAGGGGUUUAAAAGAGCCAAAACAAUUGCAUUGUUUUGAGAAAAUGAAUGCAUCAUGAUUUCGUUAAACAUUCCUUAUGGUAUGCUUGUUCACUCACUGAGUUUAUGCUCACCGCUUUCAACUUCAUGUUUUCAAAUUACGAGGCAGCUGGUAACUAGGUCGAGGUACCUUUGUAGACUCGACUAUUGGUAGGUGUCUCGGCAUUUAGUAGCUAUACAUUCGUCAAGUUUCUCCGCUGGACAUCGAGUCUUCAUUUGUUAUGUAUAGACGAACCUAAUGUGAAUUAUUAAGAUACAUGUUGUAGACAGUGUAUAUACACUUGUUUGGUAUGCCAGUAUGAGGGGUAAUGUUCAAUAUUAUUUCGAUUCUAAGUUAUGAUAUAUGACUUAGCAGUUUACGAUGGAAUGAUGAAUGUGUCAGAUUAAUAGGCUUGCUUGGGCUUAGUGGACUACGUCCAUUGGGUCCAUGCGCCAGUCAUGGCCCAAAAUUUGGGUCAUGACAUUUUCUUCCUUAACACUUGUAUCAAUAAAAUAUCAAGUUUAUACUUCAAUGUGGUAUCACCGUAAUAUUUAAAUAUUUACUUACCCACUUUAUUUAAUAAAGACAAG